AUGGGCUCCAGGCUCCUCUGCUGGGAGACACUUUGUCUUUGGGAGCAGGUGAGUCCUGUGGACAAGGAGAUCACUGCUCUUCUAGGCUUAACCUUGCAGAUAAACCAUCAAACUCUCUCCUGUGCUCAUUUUAUAUCUGCAUUUCCCACAAGCCCAGUAGACGCUGGAGUCACCCAAACUCCAAGACGCCUGAUAAAAACACCAGGACAGACAGUGUCGCUGAGAUGUUCCCCUAUCUCCGAGCACCCCGGUGUAUCUUGGUACCGACAGGGCCUGAGAGACGUCCCGGGUCGAUUCUUAGCACAGCAAUUCCAUGACUAUUGCUGGGAGCUGAACGUGAGCGUCUUGGAGCUGACGGACUCGGCCCUGUGUCUCUGUGCCAGCAGCUGGGCACAACCCUGCAGAGUCACCACGCCCUGUGCACAAACCUCCCUGCUGUGGCUCUAA